rnacentral:rRNA from 1 species
UGGGGAAUUUUGGACAAUGGGGGAAACCCUGAUCCAGCCAUCCCGCGUGUGCGAUGAAGGCCUUCGGGUUGUAAAGCACUUUUGGCAGGAAAGAAACGUCGCGGGUUAAUACCCCGCGGAACUGACGGUACCUGCAGAAUAAGCACCGGCUAACUACGUGCCAGCAGCCGCGGUAAUACGUAGGGUGCAAGCGUUAAUCGGAAUUACUGGGCGUAAAGCGUGCGCAGGCGUUCGGAAAGAAGAUGUGAAAUCCCAGAGCUUAACUUUGGAAACUGCAUUUUUUAAACUACCGGGCUAGAGUGUGUCAGAGGGAGGUGGAAUUCCGCGUGUAGCAGUGAAAUGCGUAGAUAUGCGGAGGAACACCGAUGGCGAAGGCAGCCUCCUGGGAUAACACUGACGCUCAUGCACGAAAGCGUGGGGAGCAAAACAGGAUUAGAUACCCUGGUAGUCCACGCCCUAAACGAUGUCAACUAGCUGUUGGGGUCUUCGGACCUUGGUAGCGCAGCUAACGCGUGAAGUUGACCGCCUGGGGAGUACGGUCGCAAGA